rnacentral:rRNA from 1 species
CCGGCGACCGGCGCACGGGUGAGUAACACGUAUGCAACCUGGCCGUCACAGGUGGAUAACCGGAAGAAAUUCCGACUAAUACAGCAUAACACUCCUGAGGGGACAUCCCUUGGGAGUCAAAGGAGGCAACUCCGGUGACGGAUGGGCAUGCGGCGCAUUAGGUAGUUGGUAGGGUAACGGCCUACCAAGCCGACGAUGCGUAGGGGUUCUGAGAGGAAGGUCCCCCACAUUGGAACUGAGACACGGUCCAAACUCCUACGGGAGGCAGCAG